UUUUGCUGGAGAUUCUUGCUUAUGUGAAGUCUUCUAAGGGUGUGUGAACCUUAGAGGCAGUUGUAUCUUGGAAGUUCCUGGGGAUACCAUUGGCUUUGUUGGGCAGCACCGUGCAGAUGCUGGGGGUAGAGCAGACUGCUCUCCAAAAUACAGCACAUGGGAUCUUGACAUCAAAGCUGUAUGGGAGAAAACAGCAUUCCCUAUCGAGACUUUUAAUGAUGCAGUUUGCUGCCAUUGUGCUUCUGGCUGGAAUGUAGUUGCAUUUUUAGUAUGGUCUUUCUCUUACACCUCUGUUGUGCUCUCUGUCUGCCAGAGGGAGGGAUGAUGAUACUUCUCAUUCUGAACAUCAUCACUUAUCUACCACCAAUCUGGUUUAGGCCAUUCACAUCAUAGCAUGUAAGUUAAGCAACUGGAGGCAGCGAAAGGCUUGAUCUUCCUGAGUUUCAGUUCUUGGACGGUUCUCACAACUGAGAUGGGCAAGAUGGGGAAAAGGAUGGAUGGUUUUUGGGGAAGAAGUUGUCUCAUACUGGAAGGGAUAUAUCUGUAACCUACUCUAGGUCCUGUCUAAUCCCUACAACUCUGUGAUUGUGUUUUUUCACAUCUGAAACUUAAGACAGUUGUCAGUGCAGAGCAGGCUGAUGUCUGUCAGUGCCUAACAGAUCUGGACAUGUCUGAGCUCCCUACACAAUCUGUGCAAAAUCUCAUGUAAAAGGCACUAUGAAUUAUUGCUGCUUAACAAAUCAUAUUUCAUAAUAUAAAAUCAUUUAUUUGAAAAGUCGCUGUAAAUUUUAUAAAUGGGUCCCAAUAGCAAACCUCAUCCUGACCUUUAUCUGCUAUGAAACCUGAUCUAGCUGUUGAAUGUAGUGGUAAUAUUUGCAUCUAAAAAUUACUCUUCAGUGUAUCAAGGCCAACUGUGAAAUUACUGCCUAAACUCUUCUCAAAGUCUUUUUACCCCCCCUAGAAAGUAAAGAGUCAUUGAGCAAAACUGGAAGCCAUUCUUGCUCUGUACUCAUGUAAAUUUUUUAUUGAAGCAAAUGGUUUAUUUAUGAUCAUUAUUCAUUUUGCAUUCAAUUUCGGUUGUUGUAAUGGCUUCUCUUUUAACAUGCAUGCUCUGACUUCUUCUGUGGAUAUCAAACACAAGAAAAUACCCUUUUUCUUUUCUGCAGUGGGCAGCUGAUGUGCCUUUCAACAGCCUUUUAACAAUAACAACAACACACAAAAUAUUUCAGCAGUUUGU
ensembl:lncRNA